rnacentral:rRNA from 1 species
UACGGAGGAUCCUAGCGUUAUCCGGAUUCAUUGGGUUUAAAGGGUGCGUAGGCGGAAUAGUAAGUCAGCGGUGAAAUCCUACAGCUUAACUGUAGAACUGCCAUUGAUACUGCUAAUCUUGAGUACAUAUGAAGUGGGCGGAAUGUGUCGUGUAGCGGUGAAAUGCUUAGAUAUGACACAGAACACCAAUUGCGAAGGCAGCUCGCUAAAUUGUAACUGACGCUGAGGCACGAAAGCGUGGGGAUCAAACAGG